rnacentral:lncRNA from 1 species
UUAAGCAAACCAUGGGAUUCUUCAUCCAUAGAGUUGGUAUCUUCCAUGAUCUCAAUAUAUGCUCCCAAGCUCUACCUGAAUCGUCAUAUAUGCUUCUGAAUUAAACUGAAGGAACAACAAUAAAUUACAAAUACACAAACACCAUAGUAGUGUGAUCUGUUGGAUAAAGUAGUACAUACGAAUACGUACCAUGGAGACCCAAGUGCACAUGCAUGUGCAGGUAUAAGCAUGCUAACACAUCAAUGACUUGAGUGAGCGGGCUUUAACAGGCUUCCUCCACCUCUUCUUAAAUGGGCUCUUCUUCUUGAUGUUGCCGUUGCCAACAACCCGGGGUUCNGGGCGGGGGCGGGGGCGGGAGGUCGGAUUGGGGCGGGGUGGGGCCGGAGUAGGCGGAGCCGAGCAGGCGGGAGGCGGACCUGCGGAUCCUCAUGGCGAGGCGGCGGGCGGCGCGGGGAGGGAUCUGGGGCGCUGGCUAGGGUUUGGUUUGGGAUUUGGGCUGGUGCGGCAGCACGGGAUGGAUCGGAGCGGACUGCGGAGGAGGUCGAGACGAAGCUGUGGAGUGUGUGUGUGGGUCGGGUGGUCUGUUUAUAGGAGCAUUUGGUUGGGCCGACCUAGCUAG